UACGAAGGGGGCUAGCGUUGCUCGGAUUGACUGGGCGUAAAGGGCGCGUAGGCGGUUCGUACAGUCAGACGUGAAAUUCCUGGGCUCAACCUGGGGGCUGCGUUUGAUACGUGCGGACUUGAGUGCGGAAGAGGGUCGUGGAAUUCCCAGUGUAGAGGUGAAAUUCGUAGAUAUUGGGAAGAACACCAAUGGCGAAAGCAGCUUUCUGGGACGGUACUGACGCUGAGACGCGAAAGCGUGGGGAGCGAACAGG
rnacentral:rRNA from 1 species